ACGCUGGCGGCAGGCCUAACACAUGCAAGUCGAGCGGAAACGAGUUAUCUGAACCUUCGGGGAACGAUAACGGCGUCGAGCGGCGGACGGGUGAGUAAUGCCUAGGAAAUUGCCCUGAUGUGGGGGAUAACCAUUGGAAACGAUGGCUAAUACCGCAUAAUGCCUACGGGCCAAAGAGGGGGACCUUCGGGCCUCUCGCGUCAGGAUAUGCCUAGGUGGGAUUAGCUAGUUGGUGAGGUAAUGGCUCACCAAGGCGACGAUCCCUAGCUGGUCUGAGAGGAUGAUCAGCCACACUGGAACUGAGACACGGUCCAGACUCCUACGGGAGGCAGCAGUGGGGAAUAUUGCACAAUGGGCGCAAGCCUGAUGCAGCCAUGCCGCGUGUGUGAAGAAGGCCUUCGGGUUGUAAAGCACUUUCAGUCGUGAGGAAGGUAGUGUAGUUAAUAGCUGCAUUAUUUGACGUUAGCGACAGAAGAAGCACCGGCUAACUCCGUGCCAGCAGCCGCGGUAAUACGGAGGGUGCGAGCGUUAAUCGGAAUUACUGGGCGUAAAGCGCAUGCAGGUGGUUUGUUAAGUCAGAUGUGAAAGCCCGGGGCUCAACCUCGGAAUUGCAUUUGAAACUGGCAGACUAGAGUACUGUAGAGGGGGGUAGAAUUUCAGGUGUAGCGGUGAAAUGCGUAGAGAUCUGAAGGAAUACCGGUGGCGAAGGCGGCCCCCUGGACA
rnacentral:rRNA from 1 species